rnacentral:rRNA from 1 species
CCGCCCGUCACAUCAUGAAAGCCGUUUGUACCCGAAGUCGCCGUGUUAACUCGCAAGAGAGACAGGUGCCGAAGGUAUGAAUGGUGAUUGGGAGUG